rnacentral:rRNA from 1 species
GACGAACGCUGGCGGCGUGCUUAACACAUGCAAGUCGAGCGAAGAGCGAUGGAAGCUUGCUUCUAUCAAUCUUAGUGGCGCACGGGUGAGGAACGCGUAAUCAACCUGCCCUUCAGAGGGGGACAACAGUUGGAAACGACUGCUAAUACCGCAUACGAUCUAAUCUCGGCAUCGAGGAUAGAUGAAAGGUGGCCUCUACAUGUAAGCUAUCACUGAAGGAGGGGAUUGCGUCUGAUUAGCUAGUUGGAGGGGUAACGGCCCACCAAGGCGAUGAUCAGUAGCCGGUCUGAGAGGAUGAACGGCCACAUUGGGACUGAGACACGGCCCAGACUCCUACGGGAGGCAGCAGUGGGGAAUCUUCCGCAAUGGACGAAAGUCUGACGGAGCAACGCCGCGUGAGUGAUGACGGCCUUCGGGUUGUAAAGCUCUGUUAAUCGGGACGAAAGGCCUUCUUGCGAAUAGUGAGAAGGAUUGACGGUACCGGAAUAGAAAGCCACGGCUAACUACGUG